GACGAACGCUGGCGGCGUGCUUAACACAUGCAAGUCGAACGGAAAGGCCCUGCUUGCAGGGUACUCGAGUGGCGAACGGGUGAGUAACACGUGGGUGAUCUGCCCUGCACUUCGGGAUAAGCCUGGGAAACUGGGUCUAAUACCGGAUAGGAGCCAUUUUUAGUGUGAUGGUUGGAAAGUUUUUUCGGUGUAGGAUGAGCUCGCGGCCUAUCAGCUUGUUGGUGGGGUGAUGGCCUACCAAGGCGGCGACGGGUAGCCGGCCUGAGAGGGUGGACGGCCACAUUGGGACUGAGAUACGGCCCAGACUCCUACGGGAGGCAGCAGUGGGGAAUAUUGCACAAUGGGCGCAAGCCUGAUGCAGCGACGCCGCGUGGGGGAUGACGGCCUUCGGGUUGUAAACUCCUUUCGCUAGGGACGAAGCUUUUUGUGACGGUACCUAGAUAAGAAGCACCGGCUAACUACGUG
rnacentral:rRNA from 1 species